GCGGCAGGCUUAACACAUGCAAGUCGAGGGGCAGCAUGGUCUUAGCUUGCUAAGGCCGAUGGCGACCGGCGCACGGGUGAGUAACACGUAUCCAACCUGCCGUCUACUCUUGGACAGCCUUCUGAAAGGAAGAUUAAUACAAGAUGGCAUCAUGAGUCCGCAUGUUCACAUGAUUAAAGGUAUUCCGGUAGACGAUGGGGAUGCGUUCCAUUAGAUAGUAGGCGGGGUAACGGCCCACCUAGUCUUCGAUGGAUAGGGGUUCUGAGAGGAAGGUCCCCCACAUUGGAACUGAGACACGGUCCAAACUCCUACGGGAGGCAGCAGUGAGGAAUAUUGGUCAAUGGGCGAGAGCCUGAACCAGCCAAGUAGCGUGAAGGAUGACUGCCCUAUGGGUUGUAAACUUCUUUUAUAAAGGAAUAAAGUCGGGUAUGGAUACCCGUUUGCAUGUACUUUAUGAAUAAGGAUCGGCUAACUCCGUGCCAGCAGCCGCGGUAAUACGGAGGAUCCGAGCGUUAUCCGGAUUUAUUGGGUUUAAAGGGAGCGUAGAUGGAUGUUUAAGUCAGUUGUGAAAGUUUGCGGCUCAACCGUAAAAUUGCAGUUGAUACUGGAUAUCUUGAGUGCAGUUGAGGCAGGCGGAAUUCGUGGUGUAGCGGUGAAAUGCUUAGAUAUCACGAAGAACUCCGAUUGCGAAGGCAGCCUGCUAAGCUGCAACUGACAUUGAGGCUCGAAAGUGUGGGUAUCAAACAGGAUUAGAUACCCUGGUAGUCCACACGGUAAACGAUGAAUACUCGCUGUUUGCGAUAUACUGCAAGCGGCCAAGCGAAAGCGUUAAGUAUUCCACCUGGGGAGUACGCCGGCAACGGUGAAACUCAAAGGAAUUGACGGGGGCCCGCACAAGCGGAGGAACAUGUGGUUUAAUUCGAUGAUACGCGAGGAACCUUACCCGGGCUUAAAUUGCAGAUGAAUUACGGUGAAAGCCGUAAGCCGCAAGGCAUCUGUGAAGGUGCUGCAUGGUUGUCGUCAGCUCGUGCCGUGAGGUGUCGGCUUAAGUGCCAUAACGAGCGCAACCCUUGUUGUCAGUUACUAACAGGUCAUGCUGAGGACUCUGACAAGACUGCCAUCGUAAGAUGUGAGGAAGGUGGGGAUGGCGUCAAAUCAGCACGGCCCUUACGUCCGGGGCUACACACGUGUUACAAUGGGGGGCACAGAGGGCCGCUACCACGCGAGUGGAUGCCAAUCCCAAAAACCUCUCUCAGUUCGGACUGGAGUCUGCAACCCGACUCCACGAAGCUGGAUUCGCUAGUAAUCGCGCAUCAGCCACGGCGCGGUGAAUACGUUCCCGGGCCUUGUACACACCGCCCGUCAAGCCAUGGGAGCCGGGGGUACCUGAAGUGCGUAACCGCGAGGAGCGCCCUAGGGUAAAACUGGUGACUGGGG
rnacentral:rRNA from 1 species